CAGCUAAGUACAAUAAUGCAAUUAAUGC
rnacentral:sRNA from 1 species